rnacentral:rRNA from 1 species
GACGAACGCUGGCGGCGUGCUUAACACAUGCAAGUCGAACGGAAAGGCCUGCUUUCCCUUGUGGAUUGCGGGUACUCGAGUGGCGAACGGGUGAGUAACACGUGAGUGAUCUGCCCCCAACUUGGGUAUAAGCCUGGGAAACUGGGUCUAAUUCCCGAUAGGACUGCAGGGUGGUGCCUGUGGUGGAAAACGAUUUUCUAGUGGUUGGGGAUGAGCUCGCGGCCUAUCAGCUUGUUGGUGGGGUAAUGGCCUACCAAGGCGGCGACGGGUAGCCGGCCUGAGAGGGUGGACGGCCACAUUGGGACUGAGAUACGGCCCAGACUCCUACGGGAGGCAGCAGUGGGGAAUAUUGCACAAUGGGCGGAAGCCUGAUGCAGCGACGCCGCGUGGGGGAUGACGGCCUUCGGGUUGUAAACUCCUUUCGACCGCGAGGAAGCCACCUGGUUGGAAGGGUGGUGACGGUAGUGGUAGAAGAAGCACCGGCUAACAACGUG